CCCUUCAGUGCGCACAGCAGGAGCAGCAGGAUAUGGUGUGUUUCACAGCGCAGACCCUGGUGAGGGUGCUCUCUCACGGAGGGUACAGGAAGGUGCUCGGCCUCGAGGGAGAUGCCAGCUGUAAGAACAUGAAUUUUGUACAAAGCUUCCUGUUUGAUGAUUUUAUGUUUAUAUUAAUGCUGUCAAAAUUAUCGCGUU